GUUGGUGGUUGAUGGUGGCAGGGUCACGCCCGGUCCCGUUCCGAUCCCGGUAGCUAAGCCUGUUCACGCUGAUGGUACUGCACUCGUGAGGGUGUGGGAGAGUAGGUUGCUGCCAACA
rnacentral:rRNA from 1 species